rnacentral:tRNA from 1 species
GCUCCUAUCGUCUAGUGGUUAGGACAUCAGCUUCUCAAGCUGGUAACACCGGUUCGACUCCGGUUAGGAGCA